rnacentral:rRNA from 1 species
UACGAAGGGGGCUAGCGCUGCUCGGAAUCACUGGGCGUAAAGCGCGCGUAGGCGGAUCGUUAAGUCAGGGGUGAAAUCCUGGAGCUCAACUCCAGAACUGCCUUUGAUACUGGCGACCUUGAGUUCGGGAGAGGUGAGUGGAACUGCGAGUGUAGAGGUGAAAUUCGUAGAUAUUCGCAAGAACACCAGUGGCGAAGGCGGCUCACUGGCCCGGUACUGACGCUGAGGCACGAAAGCGUGGGGAGCAAACAGG